UCCCCAAGACCAAUCUCUGUGGCACUGGCCCAUGCCUGGUGUCCUGGGCUUCUCCCUGAGUGGGAACUGUACGGUCAGGUGCCAAGGAGAUGGUGACACACAGGGAGUGGGGCGGGGUUUUCAUGUAUAACUCGGCAAGCUACUGAGCUUCCUGCACCUUAUGAGAGUCACGGAGCCUACUUCAAGGACCACUGUAGGGUUCUUUGUUAACAGUGGUGAAGUACACAUAAGGACAUUCUCCAUCCAGCCAUGUUUAGGGAUAUAGUUCAUAGCAUGAGGGCCAUUUUUUAGUUCUGUGACCAUCAGCACUGCAAUAUGUCUCCAAAUGUCUUUUCAUCUGAAAAGACUACUCUAGGCGCCUCAUGACCCUCACCAGAGCCAGGCGAGCAUUGUACCACUGGGCAGAGCCACAGCACUCCAAGUGCAUCUGAAGGUUAGCUACUAAUAAUCCGGUGGUUUUAACAGGAAGCCUUGUGUGUAGGGCUUACCCAAGAGACAUGGCCCCAAACUUCGGAUCCAAGGAACCACAGGAAGCCACCCAGGAGCGGAUAAUCUUUGGCUUUUAGAAUGCUCUCAUUCAAGUAUGCAAAUGUUUGGUAAAAAGACACUGGUUGCCUUGGCUUAACAGGCUAUUUUGUAGCUGGACAAACCUGCUGUUCUCAGUAUCCACCUCGUAAGAGAAGGAGAUGAGUAAAUCUGAACUUGGUAGGGGAAAGAGGCUAAUCUUCAUGUGGACCUGCACCUGUGACAAAUGACAGCAUUCCCUCUUACCUGAGUUUCAGUCACCUGCAGUUAUGUGCAUCAAAUAUGGCCUGAAAAUAUGAAAUGGAAACUUUCAGAGACAAAUGGUUCUUCCAUUUUAAAUUGUGCAUCAGGGGCUUGUGAGAGAGUUCAGUGGGUAAAGGGGCUUGCUGCUAAGCUCCAUGACCUGAGUUUGAUCCCCAGGAUUCACAUGGUGAAAGGAAAGUACCAACUCCCAAAAUUUGUCCUUUGACUUCAUGUACACGCACGCUAUGGGAUGUACCCCACACAUGUACACACAUAAACAAAAUGAAUAAAUGUAAUUUUAAAAAUUA